GGCGAGCUUCCUUUUUAAAUCGAAAGUGGCUCCUCAAUCCAUACGGACAUCAAAAAAGAAGUCUUGAAUCUUCUAUAGAUCUUCUGACUCGAAAAAAUCUGACAGUGUAAGAGGAAGGAUUUUUGUUAGACACGAAAAGUUGACUGCUAAGGAUGGUUUAUAAUUAACACUUGCAUUAUACAUAAAAAUACUUCACUUACACAGCAAGCAUGGGUGUGAGGAAAGCGGGAUAGGAUUUUUGAAUUAAUAACUACAAAUAAACUUUAGAGGA